rnacentral:rRNA from 1 species
CAGCAGCCGCGGGUAAUACCGGCGGCCCGAGUGGCGGUCACUAUUAUUUGGCUUAAAGCGUCCGUAGCCGGGGUGGGAAGUCCUCCGGGAAAUCUGGCCGCUUAACGGUCAGAAUGCCGGAGGAUACUCCCAGCCUAGGGAGCGGGAGAGGCCGAGGGUAUUUCCGGAGUAGGGGUGAAAUCCUAUAAUCCCGGGAGGACCACCUGUGGCGAAGGCGCUCGGCUGGAACGCGUCCGACGGUGAGGGACGAAGGCCAGGGGAGCAAACCGGAUUAGAUACCCGGGUAGUCCUGGCUGUAAACGAUGCGGACUUUGUGUCGGACAAGCUAUGAGCUUGUCCGGUGCCGGAGGGAAACCGUUAAGUCCGCCGCCUGGGGAGUACGGCCGCAAGGCUGAAACUUAAAGGAAUUGGCGGG